rnacentral:misc_RNA from 1 species
UCCGGUUUGUCACCGGCAGUCUCGCAUGAGUCCCCAACUAAAUGCUGGCAACAUGCGACAGGGGUUGCGCUCGUUGCGGGACUUAACCCAACAUCUCACGACACGAGCGCAACCCCUAUCACUAGUUGCCAUCAGGUAAAGCUGGGAACUCUAGUGAAACUGCCGUCGUAAGACGCGAGGAAGGUGGGGAUGACGUACCAGUAUCGGA